AGUCGUAAUAUGGGUGGCUAAAAAGAUAAACAGCAGCAUAGAGUAUGUGCAUGUUCAUGUUGAACAGAUAUUACGAUGUUGUGAAUAAAGACUGCCACUUAUAUUAAGAUUUAAGCAGAUGACUAGUACAUGUAGAUUUUAUUGUUUGCAUAAUUAAAUAACCCAGUUAUAAUAGUUAUUUUCACAAAUAAACAAAUAUUAAAUUCAAAAUGGCGGCAAAUAUGGCGGCCGCCGGCCUCCGAUGUCCGUUUUGUUGAUACUAAGAUAAAUUCAAAAUUUUAACACCAACUGGUAUUUAUAUUUUUAAUUUAAGGUUGAUAUUACACAAUUAGGUUUAUUUGCAUUUAAAAUAAAUUAAUAAUGAAUUAUUUAUUUAUUUUUUUUUCGAUCACGUGACGUUUUUGAGUUCUAUGAUUGGUCAAUAACAGAGCGCGGAUUUUUCCAUGGACGAUUUGAAUGUUUGGAUGUUGAAAGUGUUGAUAGAAAAAAAGGAGAUAAAACCAGUUGCAGAAUAUUGGUACAUGAUGUUUCCAUGAGCUGAAUCUGUCCUGCCCUGGAGUACAUGAAAUUCUUCACAAUAUUACUUGUUUAAGAAUUGAAGAAAAGGUUAAAAUUGCAAGCAUAUUUCAACGAAAACUUAGCCGACUACCAGUCACACUGCCCACCAGCCAAGACGUCUGACCAGCUAAAAUGAGGGACGCAGUCCACCAGCCAAGUCCCUCGGCCAGCUCGGCUGACCCAGUGCGGCCUGUCAAGGGAUAACCAAGUCCAUCAACUAGCUCGGCUGACUACCAGUGCAGCCUGUCAAGUCCUUCAACUAACUUGGCCUAUUACCAGUGCGGCCUGUCAUCGAACAACCAAGUCCAUCAACUAGAUUGGCUUACUACCAGAGCUGCUUUUCAAGGGAUGGUCAAGUCCGUCAACUAACUUAACCUACUACCAGUGCCACAUGUCAAGAGAUGGCCAAGUUCGUCUCGGCUUACUACCAGUACGGCCUGUCAAUAUAGGGACGGUUAAGACCAUUGACUAACUUGGCCUUCUACCAGUGCGGCUUGUCAAGGGACGUUUAAGUCUGUCAACUAACUUGACCAACUACAGAUGCGACCUGUCAAGGGAUGGCCAAGUCCGUCAACUAUCUUGACCAACUACCAGUGCGGCCUGUCAAACGAUGGCCAAGUCCUUCAACUAACUUGGCCUACUACCAGUGUGGCCUGUCAAACGAUGGCUAAGUCUGUCAGCUAACUUGGUAUACUACCAGUGCGGCCUGUCAAACGAUGGCCAAGUCCUUCAACUAACUUGGUCUACUACCAGUGCGGCCUGUCAAACGAUGGCUAAGUCUGUCAGCUAACUCAGCCAACUUUCAGUGCAGCCUAUCUUCAAAUAAUAAAGAUAAACAACUGUACACCUGCAAGGAUACCUGUGCAAGGAGGGUGGUAUGCAGCUAGAAACUGUGACUGAAAUCACUGUUUAUAGAAACUUUCUUUUUUUUUUUUUGAAAUACAGCUAGAUCAAAAAUAAAUAGGGUGUUAAUAUUUAAAAAUUAGUGAUGUCUGUUUAUACAAUUAGCAAGAGUAGAAUGCAGUUUGCUAGGUAAUUUUACAAAGACCCUAAUUGCUAUAUGCUCAAAAUGUAUUCUUUAAAACAACCAGAGAAAUUUCAAUCUGUUGUAGAUGACAUGAUGUAAAAUAAGGUACACUUGAAUUUUUAAAACAAUUGCAUGUGCAUUCAUUUAGUUGUAUUUGACAAUAAACCAAGCUAUCUUUAUCAUGUUUGUUAGGUAAAAUUGUUAUUGCCUUUAAUAUGUUUUAAAUAAUCUUUUUUGUAUAAAUUUCAAAAACCUUUUUAUUUUUUAAAAUUUUAAUGAGUAGCUUUUUAAAAGCUUAUAACUGAGUAAAUCCACAACAGGUUAACAGUGUAUAAUUUCACUGGAACUUUUACGAAAGUUUUUAUUAAUAGGUAUAACUUUUUAUAGUUAUAACUUUUUGCAGUUAUAACUUUUUUUAGGUAUAACUUUUCUAUAACUUUUUCAUAACUUUCUUGGGGUAUAACUUUUUUGUAACUUUUUCAUAACUUUAUAAUAGGUAUAACUUUUUUUAGUUAUAACUUUUCCUGGGUAUAACUUUUUCCGGGUAUAACUUUUUUGUAACUUUUUCAUAACUUUUUUUGGGUAUAACUUUUUUGUAACUUUUCCACUGUUUAUUUGGGUAUAACUAAAGUAUAACUUUGUAACUAUUUUAUAACUUUUUGUGUAACUUUUAAUAAGUAUAACUUUUUGUAGUUAUAACUUUUUUAUAACUUUUAUGUACUUGCUGUAUUUAUGUUCAAUAAAAGGUGAAAAGUUAUGAAAAAGUUAUAACUUUUUUGUAACUAAGUUAUAACUAAAUUAUACCUCACUUAAAACAUGCCAUUCCAAACUCCGAUAACUUAGUUAUAACUUUUUUGUAACUUUUUUUAGUUACAAAAGUUAUAACUAAGUUAUAACUUUUUUCGGUAUGGGCUGCUG